rnacentral:rRNA from 1 species
AUUGAACGCUGGCGGAAUGCUUUACACAUGCAAGUCGAGCGGCAGCGCGGGGGCAACCCUGGCGGCGAGCGGCGAACGGGUGAGUAACACAUCGGAACGUACCCAGUUGUGGGGGAUAGCCCGGCGAAAGCCGGAUUAAUACCGCAUACGACCUGAGGGUGAAAGGGGGGGAUCGCAAGACCUCUCGCAGUUGGAGCGGCCGAUGGCGGAUUAGCUAGUUGGUGAGGUAAAGGCACACCAAGGCGACGAUCCGUAGCUGGUCUGAGAGGACGACCAGCCACACUGGAACUGAGACACGGGCCAGACUCCUACGGGAGGCAGCAGUGGGGAAUUUUGGACAAUGGGGGCAACCCUGAUCCAGCCAUUCCGCGUGAGUGAAGAAGGCCUUCGGGUUGUAAAGCUCUUUCGGCAGGAACGAAACGGUGGAGGCUAAUACCUUUCAUCAAUGACGGUACCUGAAGAAGAAGCACCGGCUAACUACGUGCCAGCAGCCGCCGUAA